UCCUAUUUAUUGAUUGAUCCAUUAAUCCCUUAGUUUGUCAUGAACUUACAACGUUAAUAAAUAAUGUUGCAGCUUCAACACAUGCCAUAAACUGCAAAUACUCGUGCAUAUUUAGCUCAUGGAUUUAUUACUAUAGAUGUACUAAUAAGAGAUAACAUGAGGCAUGCUCUUAAAAUUCUUUCUUAUUUUGUUAGCUGCUAGUGGCUAGGUGAAUGAUGGCUGGCCUUGUCUUUCUGAUGCCGAUACACGGCGCUGUCAGAUGCUUUGAGCCAAUGCACUCUACUACUAUUGGUUUCUUGAUGUGCUCUGCAGGAAACAAGAGGAGGGAUAGCUUGAUGGAUUUUAGAGAUCCAUUGCAAAUAUUAAAAUGCAUGAGCAGCAGAAGUACUUUCAUUUGUUGAAGCAAGGGCCUUAGGUUACAUUAUUUCACUUUCAUGCCAGCAUUUCCACGCCAAGACUACAACAAGGUAAUUUGCCAAGGUCUAGAUGCUCGUGUUCGCUGCCACUGUACUUGCGGUGCAGUGUAGGCUGCUUGUGCCGCCACUGACCCGCUGACUUUCCUACUCCUUGCUGGCUUGCAUGCUUUGAACGCCUCACCGCUGCCUCUGUAGUCUGUUUCCCACAUUGGGUGUCAUCCAUCAUGUGAAGGUUUUGUUGAUUUCACGUCACUAUUCUGAAAGGUUCUUCUUUCAGAUCUUGCGCGGACACUAUUCAUUAUUUUUCAUGUUUGGCAACAUAAUUACUGUUUGAGAUUUUUUUAAGUUAAAGUUGAUAUUUUCCCAUGCUUUGUUAGGGAUGGAGAUCAAUGAGGCCCAUGAAGAAUGCCAUACUCGAUUUCUCGAGCCUUUCCAUCUCCCAACCCUCCAAUGCUGAAGGAAACAAGAGGAGGGAUAGCUUGAUGGAUUUUAGAGAUCCAUUGCAAAUAUUAAAAUGCACGAGCAGAAGAAGUACUUUCAUUUGUUGAAGCAAGGGCCUUAGGUUACAUUAUUUCACUUGCAUGCCAGCAUUUCCACGCCAAGACCACAACAAGAUAUGCAGCCCUGUUCAGAAGGUACUUUGCCAAGGUCUAGAUGCUCGUGUUCGCUGCCACUGUACUUGCGGUGCAGUGUAGGCUGCUUGUGCCGCCACUGACCCGCUGACUUUCCUACUCCUUGCUGACUUGCACGCUUUGAACGCCUCACCGCUGCCGCUGUAGUCUGUUUCCCACAUUGGGUGUCAUCCAUCAUGUGAGGGUUUUGUUGAUUUCGCAUCACAAUUUUGAAAGGUUCUUCUUUCAGAUCUUGCGCGGACAAUAUUCAGUGUUUUUC